rnacentral:lncRNA from 1 species
UUUUCUUUUCCAUUUUUAUUCUAUUUCUUUUAUCACUUAUUUCUCGUUAAUCUAAUAUUUUUGCACAUACUCUUGCUUAUCACAUCUAUCUUAGUUUUGUCCAUUAUUUAUUUUAUAUUCUAUCACUUUUAUUUGGAUAUUUAUACCCUUGUUCUUGAUGAUGGUUGAUAAGAUCUAUUGAUCAUGGUAAUGAUUUUUUAGGGUUGACC